AUGGCCUCAAGGAGAGAAAAGAAGGCCUCCUACGACGCCAAAUGGGAGGAGGUAGCGUCCAUCAACACCUACGCCCUGUUCAUGGGGUACCUGUCCAUGGCCGUGAGGGGGAUGGGCGUCCUCGUGCUCACAUGGUCCACUGUCGUCCUCCUCGGCGGCUUUGUGUCCAUGCUACGGAAGAAAGACUUUUGGUGCCUCACCAUUAUUACUCUUGUUCAGACUGCUGGGGUCUUCGAUGUAUCUCUGAACGAGAAGUUAAAGUAUAUAAGAAGGUCGUACUUCGGUUUCCUGCGUGCUAUAUAUGCCACGGUGAUCGACAGGCGAUGGCGCAUCAGGAAAAGGAGAAAUGCCGAUAACAAGGAUCCCUCCAUGGCACGCCUACUGGUAGCGAUUACCAUAUUGUUCAUUCAGCAGCUGGUGUUCGCAGUCAUACUGUGCCCUUUAGCGGCGCUUUACUUGUGUAGGUUGGUGAUCACCGGCGUGAUAUCGCUGUGGCGCCUGAUACGGCGCGAUUACGGCGAGGUGGAUGGAGGUGCAAACCUGCAGCCUGCUCUGAAUGUCUUGUACUCACUGGCUCUGUUCCAGGGUGUGCUCUUCUGCUACAGGUUCUUCUCAUAUUCUGCAGGAGAUGGGCUAGUCAGUAAAGUGGUCGAAGAAUACAAGCUGGACAAAGAAGGACCCGUUCGGAAAUCGGUGAAGGAGUACCUGCGUCAGACCAGAAAUGGGUGCGCUAAGGACCCAUCAUUUGUAAAGGAAAGGAACCUGGUCACGUACGCUGUGGAUUUAAUGAAGUCUGAAUCAUCUGGCAGCUACCUCUCCGGGGCAAGGAUUUUGGACGCACUCUUGGCACAGUCAGAGCUCAAGGAGCAGCACUCGAUGAUUGCAAUUGGGUCGGCAUCCUGCAGCCAGAUAGUUGAGAAACUGCUGCAGGCGGUCGAUUCAAGAAGCCGGCAAGACAAGGAGAUCAUGGAGCUCGCCGCCAGGAUAGUGGUGAAGCUUGCUGGAGAGAUCCAUUUGAAGCGGUUUCCACAAGGCAUACUGUGUAUAUCUUCACUGCUCGAAACCUCUCAGCGACAGCCUGACGAUGACAGUGCCCCUUCCGGUGAAUUCAAGUCGCUCAUGAAGCAAGGCCUUGUUAUCCUCGACAGCCUCGCUGCUGACAAACAUAACUGCAGUCUCAUAUGCGAAGACCAGAGCCUUCUCUUCAAGGUUAUGGCCCCCAUAAGCUCUGAUAUGCUCCACCUCAUUGAUCAUGAUGAAUGGUUUGGUGUAGCUGCAGCAUCACUGCAAGUCAUGUGCCGCAUCGUGACUUCUCCCGGAAGCACCGGCGAGAAUCUCCGAAACCAAAUCCACGGAAACACGGAAGUGAUCAGUAGCAUGGAGCGGAUUCUGAACUGUAAAAUCUGUCGUGAACACAAGUUAUACAUACUAGUCAUCAAAAUUCUCACAAAACUACCCAUGGAUGCAGCUCCGGGAGUGGGCACCAAAAGCCGAGGAAAAUUCAUCGAGACAAUGGCUCGCAUCUUCACUUCUGAUUCUGAAACCCAAGAUAGCUCCAUCAGAAAAUUGGCAGGGGAAGCACUGGCGAUGCUAAGCGAAAAAUAUGCUACCAUCUUCUUGAAGGAAAAUGGUGGUGGUGUCGAUGAUCUCAGUAGGAUGCUCUUUAAGGCUGACCACAACGCAUACAGAAUAACUGCAGCUGAAACCCUGAAACAUCUUUGUAUGUAUUACAAAGAGAAUGAUGAUUGUUUCAAGGAACUCAUGAAAGCCAUGAAAGAUGUCACGCCAAAGGUUCUCAUUCAAAUACUUCCUCAUGGAUCAACAAGCAAGGAAGUACAAGCAGGAAAUGAAACAGAUAAAGACAAGUAUCAGCCACCAGGAGCUGACUUAGAAGAUGGGCAUGACAGUUGUGGUGUUUCAUCACAAGACAAUGGUCCGGACGAAAUCAUUUCCUCUCUUCAGGAAAAGGAUGAGGAAUCUGUGGACAGGAAAUUGCAUGCAGCUUCAUUAUCUCUUUGUGCGGCAAUAUUUGAUAGAUUGAUCAGUGAUAAAGGUCAUGAUUUAACUCCGCUGGUUAAGGCAAUUGUCUCAGAAGAUGCCGCAUUUAGCUUUGUUGGGAAGCUCAGGGAGAUGGUUGAAAUAAACCGUGAGCCCAGAGCCAAUUGCCUGAUGAUAAUGAAGAUUAUCAGCAAGAUGGUAAUAUCAAUGAUGCAGCAUGGAGGCUGGUACGUCAAAAAAAAUCUGGACAGGUUUGACAGCUUGAUACUAUCUCUGUCUAAUGCUUCAGAUAAUAUGUCAGCGCUUGAGGGUUUCAUGAUUUUUGCUAGUGCUGAUCGUCUUGUAAUGAAGGAAUUUGGCACUCUCGCUUCCCUAGUGAAUAAAGCACGAGAACUUCUGGACAAAAAUAAGAUGGAACAUCAAUCUGGAAUUAUACCAGCACCUUCCGUGUCAAUGGAAGUCAGCUCAUCGAGUAGUACUAUGCACAUUUAA
rnacentral:rRNA from 1 species